rnacentral:rRNA from 1 species
ACGCUAGCUACAGGCUUAACACAUGCAAGUCGAGGGGCAGCAUGUUGGUUGCUUGCAACCAAUGAUGGCGACCGGCGCACGGGUGAGUAACGCGUAUCCAACCUACCCAAUACUCAGGCAUAACCCGUUGAAAGACGGACUAAUUCCUGAUGGUAUGUAUCUUUCUCAUGAUUUAUACAUUAAAGAAUUUCGGUAUUGGAUGGGGAUGCGUCUGAUUAGUUUGUUGGUGAGGUAACGGCUCACCAAGACUUCGAUCAGUAGGGGUUCUGAGAGGAAGGUCCCCCACAUUGGAACUGAGACACGGUCCAAACUCCUACGGGAGGCAGCAGUGAGGAAUAUUGGUCAAUGGAUGGAAAUCUGAACCAGCCAAGUAGCGUGCAGGAUGACGGCCCUAUGGGUUGUAAACUGCUUUUAUGUGAGAAUAAAGUUAGGUAUGUAUACUUAUUUGCAUGUAUCACAUGAAUAAGGACCGGCUAAUUCCGUGCCAGCAGCCGCGGUAAUACGGAAGGUCCAGGCGUUAUCCGGAUUUAUUGGGUUUAAAGGGUGCGUAGGCCGUUUGAUAAGCGUGCUGUGAAAUAUAGUGGCUCAACCUCUAUCGUGCAGCGCGAACUGUUGAACUUGAGUGCGUAGUAGGUAGGCGGAAUUCGUGGUGUAGCGGUGAAAUGCUUAGAUAUCACGAAGAACUCCGAUUGCGAAGGCAGCUUACCGUAACGUUACUGACGCUUAAGCACGAAGGUGCGGGUAUCGAACAGGAUUAGAUACCCUGGUAGUCCGCACAGUAAACGAUGGAUGCUCGCUGUUGGCCUUUAAUGGUCAGUGGCUUAGCGAAAGCGUUAAGCAUCCCACCUGGGGAGUACGCCGGCAACGGUGAAACUCAAAGGAAUUGACGGGGGCCCGCACAAGCGGAGG